AUUUAAAUUUUUUAACAACUUCAAAGUUCUUGGAUUGUCAUUGUUAACAAAAUUAGAGCUCGCCAAACAAGGAGUCAAAGGUCAAAAAAUUCUUAACUUUGUCAAAUGACUUCCAUUUUUCAUAAAAUGUUAAUAGGGAAAAUUCUCAACUAAAAAAAUGAAGAUCUACUCCUAUAUCUCUAGGCAUCCUAUCAAAAAAGUUAUAUUUGCAUAUUUGUGACAUUAUUACCUAGUAAUUUUUAAUUUUCUCUUUCUUUAGUUACGAAACGUG
rnacentral:misc_RNA from 1 species